rnacentral:rRNA from 1 species
GUGGAUUAGAUACCCUGGUCGUCCACGCCCUAAACGAUGAAUACUCGCUGUUGGCGAUACACAGUCAGCGGCUAAGCGAAAGCGUUAAGUAUUCCACCUGGGGAGUACGCCCGCAAGGGUGAAACUCAAAGGAAUUGACGGGGGCCCGCACAAGCGGAGGAGCAUGUGGUUUAAUUCGAUGAUACGCGAGGAACCUUACCCGGGCUUGAAAGUUAGUGAAUGUACCAGAGAUGGGACAGUGAGCAAUCACACGAAACUAGGUGCUGCAUGGCUGUCGUCAGCU